rnacentral:rRNA from 1 species
AACGAACGCUGGCGGCAUGCCUAACACAUGCAAGUCGAACGAGACCUUCGGGUCUAGUGGCGCACGGGUUCGUAACGCGUGGGAACCUGCCCUUAGGUUCGGAAUAACUCCCCGAAAGGGGUGCUAAUACCGGAUAAUGUCUUCGGACCAAAGAUUUAUUGCCUUUGGAUGGGCCCGCGUUGGAUUAGCUAGUUGGUAGGGUAAAAGCCUACCAAGGCGACGAUCCAUAGCUGGUCUGAGAGGAUGAUCAGCCACACUGGGACUGAGACACGGCCCAGACUCCUACGGGAGGCAGCAGUGGGGAAUAUUGGACAAUGGGCGAAAGCCUGAUCCAGCAAUGCCGCGUGAGUGAUGAAGGCCUUAGGGUUGUAAAGCUCUUUUACCCGGGAUGAUAAUGACAGUACCGGGAGAAUAAGCUCCGGCUAACUACGUG